rnacentral:rRNA from 1 species
UACGUAGGGGGCAAGCGUUGUCCGGAUUUAUUGGGCGUAAAGAGCUCGUAGGUGGUUCGGUAAGUCGGAUGUGAAAUCUCCAGGCUCAACCUGGAGGGGUCAUUCGAUACUGCCGUGACUAGAGGUCGGUAGGGGAGUGUGGAAUUCCUGGUGGAGCGGUGAAAUGCGCAGAUAUCAGGAGGAACACCCGUAGCGAAGGCGGCACUCUGGGCCGAUACUGACACUGAGGAGCGAAAGCAUGGGGAGCGAACAGG